GAUGAACGCUGGCGGCGUGCCUAACACAUGCAAGUCGAGCGAACACACGAGGAGCUUUCUCCUCUGACGUUAGCGGCGGACGGGUGAGUAACACGUGGAUAACCUACCUAUAUGACUGGGAUAACUUCGGGAAACCGGUGCCAAUACCGGAUAAUAUAUUCAACCGCAUGGUGCAAUAGUGAAAGACGGUUUUGCUGUCACUUAUAGCUGGAGCCGCGCCGGAUUAGCUAGUUGGUAAGGUAACGGCUUACCAAGGCAACGAUGCGUAGCCGACCUGAGAGGGUGAUCAGCCACACUGGAACUGAGACACGGUCCAGACUCCUACGGGAGGCAGCAGUAGGGAAUAUUGCGCAAUGGGCGAAAGCCUGACGGAGCAACGCCGCGUGAGUGAUGAAGGUCUUCGGAUCGUAAAACUCUGUUAUUAGGGAAGAACAAAUGUGUAAGUAACUAUGCACGUCUUGACGGUACCUAAUGAGAAAGCAACGGCUAACUACGUG
rnacentral:rRNA from 1 species